rnacentral:lncRNA from 1 species
UUUUGAGAGAACAAAGUUUUCAUUUUCUGAGGUAAAUGUCCAAGAGUUCUAUUGCUGAGUCAUAUGAUACUGCAUGUUUAAUUUUUUUGAGGAACUGCCAAAUUUGCCAUACUGAUGGUACUGUUUUAUAUUACUACUAGCAAUAUAUGAGUAAUCUAGCUUCUUUUUAUCCUUCUCAGCUGUUGUCAAUAUUUUUUUAGCUGUCUGGUGGGUAUAUAAUAAUAUUUCAUUGUGGUUUUAAUUUAUAUUUCCCUGAUUGCUAAUGAUGUUGUACACCUUGUGCUUAUUUAUCAUCUCUCUUUCUUCUUUGGUGAGGGCUUUUCAAUGUUAUUUGCCUAUUUCCUAAUUGUAUCAUUUGCUUACUGAUGGAUUUUGAGUUAUUUAUGUAUUUCAGAUACUGGUGCUUUGUCCGAUACAUGAUUUGUAGUUUGACUCUUCCUACGAUGUUCUGCAGAGAAGAUUUUUAAUUCUGAUGAAGCCAAUUUAGCAAAUUUUCCUCUCUUGGGGUUGUGAUUUGGAUGUCAACUUGGAACAGGAUGGCUGUGCACACUGAGAUAGACGCCGAGUUCUACCGAGAGCUGCCUCGAGAUGAAACACCUUUUGAUGAAUUCCCCACCCCACGCCCCAAUUUACACUGUUACCCAAGCCUGCAAACUGUGUACUUGAAGAAACACUCUCCUUCUCUCCCUGAUUGAAACCUCCUUAUUUUCCUUGCCAUUGUUUUUGAAUCUGUUUCAUACUUUUGUGAAAAUAAAGAGAUCUGUUUGCUGGGGGA